UACGGAGGGGGCUAGCGUUGUUCGGAAUUACUGGGCGUAAAGCGCACGUAGGCGGCUUUGCAAGUUAGAGGUGAAAGCCCGGGGCUCAACUCCGGAAUUGCCUUUAAAACUGCAUCGCUAGAAUUGUGGAGAGGUAAGUGGAAUUCCGAGUGUAGAGGUGAAAUUCGUAGAUAUUCGGAAGAACACCAGUGGCGAAGGCGACUUACUGGACACAUAUUGACGCUGAGGUGCGAAAGCGUGGGGAG
rnacentral:rRNA from 1 species